GGCAACUUGGCCGAGUGGUUAUGGCGCAGGUUUCAGGUACCUGUUCGAAAGAGCGAGGGUUCGAAUCCCUCAGUUGUCA
rnacentral:tRNA from 1 species